AGAUUAUUGUCUCAGGUAUCAUUCCAUGUCUAUUUCAGCUUCUGGGGGUCUUCUUCAUUCCAGAGUCUCCUAUAUGGCUGGCAAAAGCUGGUCAAGAAAAAGAGUUGGAAAUUGCUUUCCAACGCCUAAGGGGAAAGAAUGUUGAUAUCUCUUACAAAGUUGCUGAAAUCACUGUUUCCCUAGUGCUAUUGGGUCCGCAAUAGCAAGUAUUGCUCAGGUGUGUCUUCUUUUCUUCCAAGCGUUACAUAUGAAUAUUACAGCUAACCCCAACUAGAUUGCAAACAUAAGGCUUAGCCGAGUCAAGUUGGGUGCAUGAAUAUGGCAAUCUCCUAGGUGCAUAUCUCGUUUCCAGGUCAAUUUUUUUGCCGGGAUAGUGAUGAACAUUUCCAGCAUAUUCUUAAUUAAUAGAUAUGGAAGACGACCACUUUCGCUGGCCAGUAUUGAAACUCUCAAGUUUAGAAUUUAAUCACUUAAAGAGGGAAUGAUAAAAAUAUCCUAGUUUUGCUUUCAGAUUUCUUCAAGUGGAGUGUGCUUGAGUAUUUUUCAUAUAUUCAGCCAUUUCUGGUUUGGGUAUUAUAUUUGUUGCAAAGUUUGUUCCAGAGACCAAGGGUUGAAGAAAUUCAAGCUUCAAUUAUUAUUGAAUAGGAUCAUAUGCACAUAUUACGGCAACAGUGAUGGAUAUCGUGAAUGAGUGACUGAGAGAGCACUUAAUUUAUGUACUCCCAGUGCAUCGUAAUAGAAUUUUUUGGUAUUUUUUGGUAUUAUAUUGUGUCAAAAGUAUGUGGCUGCGGAUGGA
rnacentral:misc_RNA from 1 species